rnacentral:rRNA from 1 species
GUCUGCAACUCGACUACAUGAAGCUGGAAUCGCUAGUAAUCGCGGAUCAGAAUGCCGCGGUGAAUACGUUCCCGGGUCUUGUACACACCGCCCGUCACACCAUGGGAGUCGGGAAUGCCCGAAGCCAGUGACCCAAGCGAGAGCAGGGAGCUGUCGAAGGCAGGCCGGAUAACUGGGGUGAAGUCGUAACAAGGUAUC